AUCUUGCUCCUUGCAACUCAAUAUCCUCGCAGAAGCGGACAGCCAAACAUUGAGAAGGAGUAGCUGGGGGAAAAUCUUCAGCUGGCAUUGCAAACGGACGGAUCAUCGUAUCAAAUUUGUCUAAGGUCAAUUAGAAUCUUGCCCAACAAACGGCGCGCUAUCUGCAGAAAUGGACAGAAGAGAUGGACUGUGAUUAUUUGACCAGAAAACAGAAGGGGCAAAAAACCUAGACUCUAGUGGUAGCAGUAGAACUUUAUUUUCAUCAUCCUUCCUGAGUAAUCUUAUUUACGAAAAAUACUACAUAAUGUACAAUUGAACAUACAAGAUAAGACUCAUAGGAAAAUCCCAAGUUACUGAAUUAAUUUACAAGCCUUGUACCUUUGAACCUAUUUUGAGUUUUUGUUUUGGAUUUA